GAGGCAGAUUCUUGAAGUAACUGAGCACUGAAUAGAAGAGUCCUAUGUUGUAAUCAAAGGCUAAAGUGACCUUUCUCCUGGGCAAAAACAAUGGUGUUUGCAACUGCUGUUAAUGAGGAACAUUCAUGGUGACUAGUAGCAAUGCUACUGAUGCUCAGCUACAACCUGACAAAGCACUCUCUUCACUACAUGUCACAUGCUAAUUUCAUGUAGUCAGCUGUGCGGAGUGCUCUGAUCAGAUGUGAGGUCAGGGAGAAAGGAUGCAGGCUUUGGCCUAUGACAAGGAAUAGAAGCUGCCAGCGGCCCUUUGGGCAGCUUGUCCUGCUUGCUAUGCAAAAAAACUUAGCUGGUUGGAGGCUACAGUGUUAGCAACAAUGACCUCUGAAGCGCCUGAAUAACAGUCAUCUUCAAUGAAGAUAAGUUCAUUCAAGAACUCUUCUUUUUAACUAGUCAACUUGUAAGUCAGGAGAGUUCCAACUGAGAAGUUGUGCUCUUACAGAUAGGUAAAGCUGAAGCAACCUUCUCUUGGACUUAACAAGAGCCCUUAUGCAUGUAGAAUUUGUUCCAAACUAGCUUCAGGAAGCUCUUAGGAUGAGCAUCAGCUUCCUCAUGUGACUUGGAGAACAAGUGAAGCAUUUAUGGUUCAAGCUGAGCCUUGACUAUUAUACUUGGACAGCUGGUACUUGUAAUGCCUUGGUGAUCAAGUUAAGCUGAAUCUGGAAUAGUCUGUCACCACCUCUCCAUCAUCAGCCUUUUUGAGAGCAUAGAUGAGGCAGUGGUGUUACAGAUGAAUUGUCUGAGUAUAUUUAAUGUAUAUACCUGUGCAGAGAAUAGGUCACUGGGAAUGUAAUUGAAGUAAUAACAGCUGCAGCAUCAACCUAGCAGAAGCAAUUUCACCAGACUAGACAUAGUAGAAGCUAGCACACCUUCCAGGUAGCUGGUCCCCAGACUAGGGAUCGUUCAGUAGAUUGUUAUAUGAGCAAACAGUCCUACUAGAAUGAAUUUUCAUCACAACUUCCAUGAAGGCAUAGUUUUCUCAUUUGGUUUAUUCUGUUUUCUAAAAGCUGAUCUGCCUGAAUUCAUUUAACAGACUAUCAGCUGUUUGGCCUUGCAGUGGGGGCACCUUACUGAUUUUAUGUUUUGGAAUGACUUCAGAGCAUGUUCAGCAGUAAUGAUGGUAGUGCUCUGGGUGUAUAGAGGCAUAAGUUGAUAUAUGGAAAAUGCUGGAUGUCUGCUGAAGCAUCAGAUAGGGUGAGGAAAGUUUCUUUAAAGCUUGCUGAUUUGUAUCAUUUUGAUCGUUCUUGAGCAAAAGUAGCAGAGUCUCAACCUCUAAACUAUAUUUAACCCAGUGGUCAUAAACACUUACAGAAACCAUAGCAUAAUUCUCUUAGCAAUGUUUGCAAUGACUGUCUUCCCACAACUGUUGCAAAGCUUGCAGCUGGGAUGGGUGAACUAGAAUUUCAAGCUCUUUCCUGAAGGCACACUACGUGUAAUUCUGUUUUGCAGAUCUGGUUGGAAGAAUUGGAUUUUGACCAUGUAGCAGGACAGGAGGAGGCCUGGCUGGGGUUAUGAAUACGUUUGUAAGAUCUGUUCUUACAUUCUUUAGAGGGAGUCUACUGUCAGCCUUGGUUUCAGCCAAUUUAGAGUAAUGUGAGCAAAUUGUGUUUAAGAGAACAACUAAAUGCUAGUAGUAACUCUCGUCUCCAGAAGAAAAAGCGAUUUGAAGGCACCUCUCUGUAGGUUCUCUAGGAUCACAUUGUAGCAUCUGUAACAUCUUUCAGAAAGAUGGCAGUUACUAAGCUCAGGUUCAUGAUAGAUACUUACAUAACCAAAUGCAGGCAAAAUCCUAUCACCAGGCGUUUUGUUUCGUGCCUUAGAAUGUCAAGCCUUUCUCAUUAUUAUAUAAGCCCACACAAGGCAGGGGAACAGUAUACAACAAAAGCUAGGGUAAGCACGCAUAAGGAGACGAUUACUUUGCAAUGAGAACCACCAAAAGAGUUAAGAACGAUAUUAGCAGUCUGAGUGUGUUGCCUUGGCCGUACAUUUGCUCUGGUGGUCAUGCUCUAGACCCUCAUUGAUGACUCCCAGGUAAAAACUUGCAUUUCAGGUCUUUUGUUGAUGCUGUUGUGUCAGCAGAUUUCUCACAUGAUUCAGUGCAUUAGGAAAGUUAUGGAUCUUUCAGUCCCUUUCUUUCAUUUACUGCUAGCAGAGUGCAGUCUUUGCCAGGGCAUGAGAAGACACUCAUUGCAAACAUUGCUAGGAGAGAAUUAUGCUGUAGUUUCCUUAAAUGUUUAUGACCACUGGGCAAGCAUAGUUGAUUUUAUAGCUGGUUUAGAAGAGGAGAACAGGCAGCCCCAGACCAUGAAAGGACGGGCUCUAGAGUGCCUGAUUCAAAAGAAGUGGUGUCUACUGGCACAUAAAUAGUUUUCUCUAGUGUGGCAGAUUGUGUGCCUGUGAUCGUGCACUGCAGAGUGAGUCAGCCCUGCAGAGAAAGGAGCAGGAUGGCUCUGCAGCAGCAGCAGAGGAUACAUGUCCAUUAGCAGUCGGUUCAGGCUAGGUAAGGUCAGGAGAUGCCUGCUGCCAGAUGCUCCUUGCAUAGACAAUGCCUUCAUAGAGCUUGCUGACCUUUCUCUUAUUUAAAUCUUGUACUUGCUUUUUUUUUUCUUCAAAGGCUGCAGCAUUUUGUUUUGGGGUAGGGGGUUACUGCUCUGUUGGAAGAAGCACAUCUGUGAAGUCUGGUCAGUGACUGCUUUCUAGGACUGCUUUAGUAAAUUCAGAUACGUAUUUAAAUGAACUGCAAUAAGAUAACUCCUGUUCAGAGAAACGCCUAUUCCUCUCCCAUAGGUACCAAGGGAACCCUGUGUUUGAUGCAUUACUGGAGAUGGGGAAUGAACACCGCUGACCAGAAAAGUAUAACUCUUGGUGAGAAAAGCCUAGCAGCUGGGGUGAAAGAAGGAGCAAGCCAAGCAAUAAGAGCUGCAGAAAGCUGUAUGAAUGAGGAGAAAGCUGGACUUGUGGUUCAAGAUCUGGGUCCAGUUUCCAGCAUUAUUCCAGUUCCCUUGUGUGAUGUUGAACAGACUCUCUGUUGCAGUUCUGCACUGUGAAGUGGAGUGUGAUUCAUCAGAGGAGCUCACAUCAGCAACCUGCCUAGACACAGUCCGUGACUUUCUCUGCGUUACUGUGGGACACGGAAUUAGAUAAACGUGAGAAUGAGAAUCAUCAGAACCGCUGGAGAGAAAAAGGCAGGAGGACUAGUUGACAGAACACAGAAUUGCUUGUUCUGUGCUCUCUUCCACAAGAGAGCAAUUCUGUGUUCUCUUCCACAUGCUUCUGACUGGUCAAGUGACCUUAGGGAGCCUGGCUAAAGCAACACUGAAAAAUAACAUUAAAAAGAAUUAAUGACUUA